rnacentral:rRNA from 1 species
UACGUAGGGGGCAAGCGUUGUCCGGAAUCAUUGGGCGUAAAGAGCGUGUAGGCGGCUCGUUAAGUCUGCUGUGAAAGUCCAGGGCUCAACCCUGGAAGGCCGGUGGAAACUGUCGGGCUAGAGUCCGGAAGAGGCGAGUGGAAUUCCUGGUGUAGCGGUGGAAUGCGCAGAUAUCAGGAGGAACACCGGUGGCGAAGGCGGCUCUCUGGGCAGUAACUGACGCUGAGGAGCGAAAGCGUGGGGAGCGAACAGG